CUUUCUACGCAUCUCACAUAUAUCGAGAAGGAAAUCUUGUUGCGGACAAUUUUGCUAACAUGGGCUUGUCUUCUCCAUCUUUAACAUGGCAUGAUUCUCCUCCGAUGGCGGUUCGUGCUACUCUGUUUUCUGACUAUGUUGGCUUGCCUGGUUACCGCUUCUCAAAUUAAUGUGCAUGUCGGCAUCCAGGUUUAGACCUUCAUGUUUGGUUCUAGAGGGGUUAGGUUUCAUGUCCCCCCCUCUUUUCUUUGUAUCAUUCUCAUUUUUUGUUUCUAGAAGGGUAAGGUUUAUGUCCCCCCUUCUUUCUAGUGUAUUCCUUUUUGUUAUCUCUGUUUUUUGGAGGGGUAAGGUUUAUGUCCCCCUGACUAGGUGUACCUUGUUUUUUCGUUAUCAAUAAAAUUACCCUCGUACCGUCGAGGUUUUCC